rnacentral:tRNA from 1 species
GGGGGUACGGCUCAGUGGUAAAGCACGUGUUUAGCAUGCAUGAGGUCCUGUGUUCAAUCCCAGUACCUUCA